rnacentral:sRNA from 1 species
AAAAAAAACAUAAAAAAAA